CAAUUGACGCAGAUGCUAUCUACUUGUAACCAGCAGGAUAACCAGGUGCUGGGUAAGAACCAGCUUGAGGGUAAGCAGGUGGAUAUCCAGACUGGGGAGGUGGUGGGUACCCGUAUGUUUGCCCAUAUGCCUGCUGGGGUGGAUAUCCAGCAGGAGGUGGAAUAGGCUGAUCGAUGCGUGACAUCUGCUGGACUGGAGGCACUGCCAUCAUUGGUGAUGGCCCAAACUUGCCAUCUCUUUUAUCCAGUUCAAUCUUAUGUUGUGUCUGAACUCCCAUACAGCGGUAUUAAUUAAAAAAUGUCACUGGAAAUGCAAGAAGGAAAAUAAAAUUCAGAGGUAGUCCAAGCAUUCUUGCUUACCUGC
rnacentral:lncRNA from 1 species